rnacentral:rRNA from 1 species
UACGUAGGGCGCAAGCGUUAUCCGGAAUUAUUGGGCGUAAAGAGCUCGUAGGCGGUUUGUUGCGUCGGCUGUGAAAUCCCGAGGCUCAACCUCGGGUCUGCAGUCGAUACGAGCAAACUAGAGUGUUGCAGGGGAGACUGGAAUUCCUGGUGUAGCGGUGAAAUGCGCAGAUAUCAGGAGGAACACCGGUGGCGAAGGCGGAUCUCUGGGCCAUUACUGACGCUGGAGGAGCGAAAGCGUGGGGAGCGAACAGG